UACGUAGGGGGCAAGCGUUAUCCGGAUUUACUGGGUGUAAAGGGAGCGUAGACGGACUGGCAAGUCUGAUGUGAAAACCCGGGGCUCAACCCCGGGACUGCAUUGGAAACUGUCAGUCUAGAGUGUCGGAGGGGUAAGUGGAAUUCCUAGUGUAGCGGUGAAAUGCGUAGAUAUUAGGAGGAACACCAGUGGCGAAGGCGGCUUACUGGACGAUAACUGACGUUGAGGCUCGAAAGCGUGGGGAGCAAACAGG
rnacentral:rRNA from 1 species